rnacentral:lncRNA from 15 species
AUCAAACUUCAUGAGACAUACCUUAUAAAUGUUUAUAACUGUUUGAUUUAUUUUCAGUGUGUCAGGGACAUUAUUCUUGUGAGAAAGGUAGUUUCAAAAUAAGAAUUUAAAAAUCGCACUUUUAAUAUUGGAAAGAUAUGUUGAUUUACGUUUUCUGAUGUGGGGAUGUAUGAGUCUUCACAUCUGACUCAACGCAUUACAUUGAUGCACAUUUUCAAACACUGUACAGCUCUUUUCACUUUAAAAACAUAUAUUUGACAUUUUUUGUAUAGAUGUUUCUAUUUUCACUUUUGCAGUACUUUUUUUUUUAUUUUUCCUUAUUUUUCUCGAUUCCGGAUAAGUACUUUAUCGUAUCGGCCUCGCGUCCAGACGGAUACGGCGUUGUUGGGGUGUGAAAACGGUAUUUUUUGGAAACGGGUCCCAGAGUGGGAAAAUCCGAAACGCCGGAUUGCCCGGAGUCGUCUGGACGGCGAAAACUGUUUUUUUCUGAAACGAUGACGUAUUAGCCCCGCCUCUCUAGCCUUUAACCUCAGCCGCCGCCGCUAGAUGCGUCAUAACAACAACAACAAUGGCGGACUACUACUACUUGUUUGUAAACAGCGCAUGCUCCAUGGCUUCUCUUCCGGUUUUAGUGUAUUGGUGUGGCGGCGUCACAGCGCCAUAUACAGGCCUGGCAUAUGUACUACAACGUUUUGGAUCGUUGUCAGUGAAUCCGUGUGGACGCAGAUAUUUCUGGAAAUGACGCCGUGUUUACAGAGAUUUUUUUCGAAUUAUUGGUGGGACUUACCUGCGGGGGCACAAAGUAACAGCAGUAACCGAGGAUCCCAUCUCUCUAUCCUCAGUCAUCAGUCUACUUAACAGGUGAGUGCUGACAUCAGUGCUGCCCCCUAUGGUGGAUAAAAGGAAACAUGAAUCACUGAAGACACCUGUGAGCCAUGUGCCAGUUGAUGUUAUAUGACAGUAAAGGAUCACUUUCUUUGAGAUCACAUGUAAUUGAGGCAGUUUUGAUUAAAAAAACUAAAAUAUUCUACUGAUAAAGAAGUUGUUGUUACUGUCCACUCACCCAGGUAAUCUCUUUAGGCUUAACAGUUUACACCCCAUGUAGUCUAUAACAGUCCAUCAUGCACAUGCACAAAUUUCACAACUCACCCAAAUUCAGGAGCUCAAAUGAAUCUUCAUGAGCGCUUUAGUGCUUCCCAAGCAGGAUAAUCUCCGACAAGAUUCAAGCUAAUCUCUGUGCCUCUGUCACUGUUUGUAAGUAUUAGAAAUGAGAUGAGGAGACGGAGGUUUGGGGUUGACCGCAUGAGUAAGUUCAGACCGCCCUCCUCUUCAGGGUGAAAUUAAACAACUUCUCCGGGCUGCUCUGUCUGUCAAGACACUUGAUCCAGACAGGGAACUUUAAUUUAACUGAAGCCCUGGCCUAAAAUCUCCCAUAGUUCAGCAAUGGAUGGGUGUAAUGGGGAGGCUGGGUGUUGAAGAAGACGCUUCAAAAAGACAUUAGGAGUCUGUGGUCACUUUGCUUUUGAUGUAACUGGAGCAAGAAUGUGGAGGCCAGUGUCCGUAGUUCCUCUGAUCCUGUUUGCCGUGAUGCUGAUGGGCACUGCGGCCAAAAAUGUAAGAUAUUUACUUAUUCCUUGUUGACAUAACAUUGUACAGCAGAACGAUCAGAUUUA